rnacentral:lncRNA from 10 species
GGACAUUUGAGUAGCUUCCAGUAUGGGGCUGCUAGUGAGCCAGCUGCGAGAGUGUGUCACAUGGGUCACAGUGUGCUGGUGCCCAGGACUACUCCUAAUGUGCGUGAAUGCUCACGGAGCUGCUUGGAACAGCGCCGGCUGCGCGGCAUCGUCUGUUACCCUUCUGCCGGCAGAUGCAAGCCUCGGGCGAGAAAGGCCACAGCUCCCCACCUGUGAAAACCAACUCUUGUUUCCAUGAAAAGAGUUUUUAAAAAAGAUCAGCAACUGAGAACAGAAGUAAGUAUUGUUUGCAUUAUCUUAGAGAUUGCAGCAGCUGGCCACAGAGAAUCUGGAUCAGAGCUAAUAAGGGAACUUAUUGAAACAGGAUACAGCCUGACAAUUCUUGAACAAGGAAUAGGGCAUGCCCAGGGAAGUAGAAAAUAGUAGAAGCUGAGAGGUAAAAUGUUGCCAAGAAAACUUAACUGAACCAUCUUAUCUCAAUAGUUUAUGAGUUUUAAACAAAGACAAAAAGACAGGCGUGGUGGCUCAUGCCUGUAAUCCCAGCACUUUGGGAGGCUGAGGUGGAAGGAUCACU